UACGUAGGGUGCAAGCGUUGUUCGGAAUCAUUGGGCGUAAAGCGCGUGUAGGCUGCUGUCUAAGUCGGGUGUGAAAUCCCUGGGCUCAACCGAGGAAGUGCAUUCGAAACUGGAUAGCUAGAGAGUGGUAGAGGAAGGUGGAAUUCCAAGUGUAGAGGUGAAAUUCGUAGAUAUUUGGAUGAAUACCGGUGGCGAAGGCGGCCUUCUGGGCCACUUCUGACGCUGAGACGCGAAAGCGUGGGGAGCAAACAGG
rnacentral:rRNA from 1 species